GUUAUAAUUUUAAUUGUUUUUAUAAAGAUGAAACUAUUUUAGAAGGAGAAUUUAAUUCUGUAAUACUUGAUGAGAUAAUACUAAGAACACAGUCCUUAGGAUAAAUAAGAUCAAAAGUAAUACAUUUUGCAGAAAUAACUGUAACACAUUGUCAAAUAUUUGCUUUUAAGUGUCGUUUUCGACUUACUAGACAAAGUGUUGAGGUAGGUACCUACAAUUAGAGAUAGUAAAUAUUAGGUCAGGAUCAAGUCAAUUCUAUUGCACUAAAUAUGUUGAAUUAAUAAACUAACAUAAUAAUAUUGUACAAUUUGUUAAUUAGAUUAUAAUAUGUUACAUAAUACAUUGGUCCUUUAUUUGUUCAUGAUAAUUCAAAAAUUGAUGUAACAAAACAAAUAUUUAUAACCUUAUUGUAUAUAGCACAUAAUGAAAUUUACAAGUAUGAAAAGUUUAGUUUUACAUAAGUUUAUAUGGAUUGUGCUUAUCCAUUGACAGAAAGUGUGAUGACACCAUACUGCAAUAAUGGAUAUUUAACUGAAGCUCAACUCAAUUUCAAUAAAAUACUAAGCAGCACUAGUAUUGCUUUAGAACUGGCUUUUGCAAAACUAUUUGGAAUAUUAAGUUGUAUCUUGAUUUUUAUUAGUCAAGAAUUUAAUUAAAAUUAUUAUUUAGGUUUUUAGACGUUUACCAUAAAAAUUAAAAAGUGGGUUAAUUAUAAAUGCUGCUGCUACAUUACACAAUAUUUGUAUGGACCAGAAUGGUGAUAUAGAAGCAGUGACUUAUGCCAUGACAGAUAUGUACCAUCGAAUCAAACAGAUUCUUAAAAUGGGAUGUUUAAAAAAAAUAAUUUGUUAAAUUUUUCUUAAUAUAUUUUAAUCUUCAAAUUAUUGUUAUUAUCUUGAAUAAUUA